rnacentral:snoRNA from 1 species
AUUCCAGUGAGGAGCUCGGACCAUAGGAAGUGCCGUUUGACACUGUAAACAGCAGCUGCUUCUCUCCACUGCAAGUGUCCUUCCUUCGACAAUAACCUCUGUGGUUUGGUCUGGGCCGGAAUCUUCAUUUGCACCUGGUUUGAUUCAGCUGUGUGCGUGAUUUUAAGCGGGUCUCUGAGGGAU